GAUGAACGCUGGCGGUCUGCUUAACACAUGCAAGUCGAACGGGGUGCUUCGGCACCUAGUGGCGGACGGGUGAGUAACGCGUGAGGAUCUGCCCUUAGGACCGGGACAACAGCUGGAAACGGCUGCUAAUACCGGAUGUGCCGGAAGGUGAAACAUUAAUGGCCUGAGGAUGAACUCGCGUCUGAUUAGCUAGUUGGUAGUGUAAUGGACUACCAAGGCGACGAUCAGUAGCUGGUCUGAGAGGAUGACCAGCCACACUGGGACUGAGACACGGCCCAGACUCCUACGGGAGGCAGCAGUGGGGAAUUUUCCGCAAUGGGGGCAACCCUGACGGAGCAAGACCGCGUGGGGGAAGAAGGUUUGUGGAUUGUAAACCCCUUUUGAUUGGGAAGAAGACAGUGACGGUACCAAUCGAAUCAGCAUCGGCUAACUCCGUGCCAGCAGCCGCCGUAAGAC
rnacentral:rRNA from 1 species